rnacentral:rRNA from 1 species
UGGGGAAUAUUGCACAAUGGGCGCAAGCCUGAUGCAGCCAUGCCGCGUGUAUGAAGAAGGCCUUCGGGUUGUAAAGUACUUUCAGCGGGGAGGAAGGCGAUAAGGUUAAUAACCUUGUCGAUUGACGUUACCCGCAGAAGAAGCACCGGCUAACUCCGUGCCAGCAGCCGCGGUAAUACGGAGGGUACAAGCGUUAAUCGGAAUUACUGGGCGUAAAGCGCACGCAGGCGGUCUGUCAAGUCGGAUGUGAAAUCCCCGGGCUCAACCUGGGAACUGCAUUCGAAACUGGCAGGCUAGAGUCUUGUAGAGGGGGGUAGAAUUCCAGGUGUAGCGGUGAAAUGCGUAGAGAUCUGGAGGAAUACCGGUGGCGAAGGCGGCCCCCUGGACAAAGACUGACGCUCAGGUGCGAAAGCGUGGGGAGCAAACA